UUAAGUUCAGCGGGUAGUCCUACCUGAUUUGAGGUCAAGUCGCCAGAAGAUUGUCCGAAGACAGUUUGAAGCAACAGAGCUCCCGAUCGGCCACCCUCUUUGCGAGGAGCCAGCGAAGACACUUAUCACGCCGUACUAUGUCCAAUCAAGAGGUGCAACUAACAUAUUUCAGGUGAGCCACAGUCAAGCAGCAACACCCA
rnacentral:misc_RNA from 1 species